GCCCCCCAGUGGAGAUUGCCUCAGCAUCCUAGUGAAGACAUCCAUAUUGGUUGAAGCAGUGGGUCAAGGAGCCUCAGCCUCUGCCCAGGGCUGGCACCUCUUCCCAAGCAACCCAGAGGAGGAAUCCUGCUGCUUUCAGCAAUACCACCAAGAUCACCAGACCACCACUGCACAGGAAUGCACAAUACCAUGCUUUCAGGUAUGCUUCUCUGGGCUGAGGGCGACCUUCUCCUUUCCUAGCAAAAAGACACCUUUGUCCCCAGGCCACUUUUAACCAGCGGCGUUGCAGCACUGUUUGCAACAGUAGCUCAGAAGCUUUCACAAAGUAUCCAUAAAAGGGACACUUCCCAUCAGGUGGGAGCCAUGAGAGUCCAGCCUGAGCAGACAUCCAAGAUUCAGAGGUCUUCUUUGCAGCUCAUUAUUAUUUAUUAUUUGUACUGUAGAAGUACCUAAGAGCCUACUAAUAUGAUCAGAGACUGUUUAUGUCAGAUGCUGAACACUGACGGAAUAGCAAUGAUAACUGCCCUUGCAAAGAGGCUCAGAAACACACAGAUCACUUUGGGCAGAAGGCAGAGGUCUCUGUUUUGCUUCUGUGUGUGCUGACCUUUCUCAUCCCCAGAGGCUGGAAGCACAGGUACCGCUAGAAAUUUGAGGACAACUUCACACCUCUACUGCCAGUUUGCUCUUAGAUGAUUUAUAGAUUUGUAGAAGGGUCUGGAGGGCAAGAGGAGUGAGAAGGAGGGUUACACAGCCACAACACUUUUCUGGAAAGAAGGACAGACGAGUGGUAAUGGGUCCAGGACUUGAAAGACAGAAAGCUUCAAGGUCAGAACUAGAUCAGGUCUCUUCAACUAUUAUUUCAAACCUUCCCUUGAAGCAUCAAGCUUUGUUUUUCAGCUCAGCCCAGAGAACUGAACUACUUAUCUAAUGGUUCUGCUUCAGGAUGGCAUGUCUUUCUUUCCCACUAAACAUCUGCAUCUGGCCAUUGAUCAGCUUGCAAAGUCCACCAAGACUGCUGGAUGCCCUAAGUUGUGAUUAUGGGUUAAACCCAUUCAUCUCUAACCCUGGAGGGUGCUCAUUAUCUGCCCUGCAAUUAAAGACAUUGCAUUGUCCACAGGGCACUGAAUUUAGAAGGGAAAGGAGUAAACGGUGCCUGUUUUUAGGAAGGAGGAAAGACGCAGAAACCUGCUGUGCUUCGUGCUGGUCGCCUUUUCUAUCACUGGAGAUUCAGAGAGCAGCUCACAAGUCAGGAAGCACUGCAGCCAUACAGACCUGGUGCAGAGAUGCAGCUACCCUGCUCCACAUCAAGUAGUGCCACGUGCAAAGCAAACGCAAUGGCUAUAUAUGAUACAACACUCCCUCCCAGCUCUAGCAGAUGCCACAGCUAUGCCAGCUCCCAUGGAUAGAGACAGGAAGGGAGAUCGCUUCUGCACCAGUUGUCCUUGCUUUUGGGCUGCACCUGCCAGAAGAUGAACUGUAUUCAGCUUUAGCUCUAGCUUAAAUAUUUCUAUUGAGAUCUACCUUCUUGGCAAUGCAGAACAGGAUCAUAGCACCACAAUUUGCAUCUCUCUGAUGUCUCUCUGUCCUCAGUUUUUUGUGUUGCCCUAAGGGGCAACAAUAAGCAUCCACUUAUGCUUUCCCCUCACGGAUACUGCAAAAAGGGAAAGCUCUCCAUGCACCAAGAACAUCUGCAUUGAGAGGAGCUGUUUGAAGACUGGAUCGUGUGAAAGAGUAAAAAAUGCAAGGAAGACAGAAACACACACACACACACACACACACACACACACACACAGACGCUUGUGAGUUAAGCCUGUCUCCUGCUCCCCAGUGAGCCUGUCUGGAGAGGAGCAGCAUAGAAUCAACAUGCUGGAGAAGUGACAACAAAAUGGUGUGUCCGUGACGUGGGAUGUAACCUACAUAUUUUACUCCCCAUGCUAUUAGGGGAAAAAAAAAAAGGUUCUUCCUCAUGUCCUCACUGUACUUCCCCAGGAUGAGCUGCUGAAGGGAAGAAAUGGGAUCUUCAGCAUCCUUCCUGGCAGUAUGGUUACGCAGUUUGGAGAAGGUUUAUAAAAAACUAGGAAAUGUGAAAUACUGAACUACUUUUCAGCUCACUGAAAUUGUGCUGUGCUGUUCACACAUAGGAGGAAGAUGUGGGGCCAACAGCAGAGGCUGUUCUCUAGGAAACUGAGGUCUGAAGCUGGCUCUAGAGCUGUCCCAUUGCAUCUCUGGAAGCUUCCUCCAGCCAUUCCACCUGGCAGCUCAAUACCACCGAAAUGAGCUUGCUUGCUUGGCAAUAGCUUUCUGCACCCACUCCUGGAGAGACUACAGUGCCAGUACUCCUCUUCACUUUAUGCAAGCAGCUUCACAACCACUAACAGCUUAUUUUCUACCUGUGUGAAGGCACAGCCUCUUCCUCCUCAGAAUGGACGCUGACUGAAGGACCAAUGCUUUUUAACAGCCUUGUUGCAGGCUGUAAGUGCAGGAAAGCUGUGUUAACCCUAAAAAUCUAGUGGAGGAAAGGAACAAACACAGAUGGCAGGACACCACACAUGUGACAGUAGAAAGAACCCAUAGCCUACCCACCUAGAACAACUUGCUCCUGCUGUAAAAAGUGCUUCUGUAUUUUUCCCAGCUAUGAAGACCAUGGGGUUUAAAACCGAAUCCUGAGCUGCGUACGAGAGAUCUAAGUAUAACUGUUUCAUUGGUACCAAAGGGAAUAAAUUCAGAGAAAUGCAUAGACUGAUAUACAACCAUAUGGCUUUAUGGCACUUUGUCACUGUCCAGUUUAAA